AUAGUCGUAAACAAGGUUUCCGUAGGUGAACCUGCGGAAGGAUCAUUACUGUAUGGCUUACCCGCCUGGGUAAACAAACCACCUCUGGGGGGGCCGCGUGGUCCCCCCUUUCAUCAUAACGUAACGCAGCCUGUCUUUGCAUGUAAAUCGAUGAAAUGAAAAGAGUACAACUUUCAACAACGGAUCUCUUGGCUUUCGCAUCGAUGAAGAACGCCGCGAAAGCGCGAAACGUAAUGUGAAUUGCAGAAUUCAGUGAAUCAUCGAAUCUUUGAACGCAUCUUGCGCUCCUUGGCAUUCCGAGGAGCAUGCCUGUUUGAGUGUCAUGAAACCUUCUCAAACCCCUCUGGGGUUGGACUUUGGACGUCUGCGGCAUGGGCUUACCCCCGUCGCUCGUCUUCAAACGCAUCAGCGGUCCCGUUUCAUAUGGGGAAAAAAAGACGGUGUGAUAAGGAAACGAAAACGUCCACUUUGACGCCGUGUGCCCCAUGUGGGAGACCGCUCCUAGCCGUCCUCUGGGACAACUCUGACGUUCUGACCUCAAAUCAGGUAGGACUACCCGCUGAACUUAAGCAUAUCAAUAAGCGGAGGAAAAGAAACUAACAAGGAUUCCCCUAGUAACUGCGAGU
rnacentral:rRNA from 1 species